UACGAAGGGGCUAGCGUUGCUCGGAAUGACUGGGCGUAAAGGCGCGUAGGCGGAUGGCACAGUCAGAUGUGAAAAUUCCCGGGCUUAACCUGGGGGCUGCAUUUGAUACGUGUUGUCUUGAGUUCGGAAGAGGUCGUGGAAUUCCCAGUGUAGAGGUGAAAUUCGUAGAUAUUGGGAAGAACACCGGUGGCGAAGGCGGCGACCUGGUCCGACACUGACGCUGAGGCGCGAAAGCGUGGGGAGCAAACAGG
rnacentral:rRNA from 1 species